GCCGGGCGUGGUGGCUCAUGCCUGUAAUCCCAGCACUUUGGGAGGCCGAGAUGGGUGGAUCACCUGAGGUCAGGAGUUCGAGACCAGCCUGGCCAACAUGGUGAAACUCCAUCUCUU
ensembl:misc_RNA Metazoa_SRP Metazoan signal recognition particle RNA